rnacentral:lncRNA from 1 species
UCCUCCCCAUUUACCUGGCAAGAGCCAGGAAGCCUCCCUGUUCUCCGGCCACAGCUGCCACCCAACCCAGCCACUGAACAAGACAAGGACUCUCAUCGCCGUGGUAACCAGACCAGUAUCUUUCUCUUUUUCCUCAUGGAAGUUUGUGGGAUGAAGCCUUUUACUCUCUUUGAACCCCGUGAGUGGUGAGGUCUUUUGUUCUCCACAGGCUUCUCAGAAUCAAGGACAUAGCAUUAAGACAUGUGAAACAAGAGACUCAAUAACUUGGAUAUCUCUGGUCACAGUAGCCACAUUUUGUAUAAUAUUAAAGAUAUAAGACUGGGCUAGAAAAACCUCAGAAUUUCAGAGAAGACCCCAGGUCCCACGAUCUCUGAACAGCGUUCUGCUUAAGCACAUAAUAACAAACUCUUCAUUGUUGGUAUGACAACAGCCCCACCCUUCCCACUUGAAGCCUACUUCUUCCUUCAGAGAAGGACCUGAACAUCUGAUUUAAGAUAUCAGCCAUAGGAGAAUACACUGCAAAGAGGCAGAAAGAAAUGGACUAUGACUUCUAAAGAGAUAAUUAAUACCACAGGAAUAGGCUUGAGUGUGUUGACAUAACUUGUGGCUACUCCUGGUUUCAGAAGGCACUAAGCAACAGAAGAUCUAUCACUGAUGUGAACAGGAGAAAAUUCUUAAGACGUUCACUAAGUAAACUGGCACUUCUACUGCAAAAUUGAAGGUUACCCUGAGAUGCUUCAGAUAUUCUGAAUGGUAACAUAUGGUCUUUGUAAUUGGAUUCCCUCAUUUGCAUAAUGUUUUCAAGAUCAGCUAUUAUUGUAUGUGCUUGUUUUGGAUGACUUCGGCAAGAAUUGCUUCUCUUGAGGUUUCUAGCAAAUGCAGCAAUCAAACUGUGGUCCAGAGUGACGAACUGACCGGUUGUCUUAAGGAAGCUUCGGGAACACGGGGCAAGCCUUGCCUUGUUGAAUCAGUGAUAUGAUACAGAGGUAGGUCACAGAAACUUGAACAUGGGUCACCUUCUUGCCUGCUCGCUAUCCCUCUGUCACCUUCAAACAUUUCUGAUGUGAUUUACAAUGGGCAUCAAGACUCACAGAAUUUGUUUCAAUGGUGAUCGGAAGAGGAGCCCCACCCCCACCCCAGCUCUUCAGUGACAGUCACAACCCCACUGCCAGGAUCAAGAACAGAAGCCACAUCUGAUUUUUGUAAUCCCAAAUGCUAAACCUAAGUUCCCCAGAUGUGUCUCAACUCUACGUGAAAUUUGUUCUUCUCAAAUAUGGUCAUUAAAGAAAGACUGGAACUGUUCAAAGCAAGGAGUCCCAAGCCCUGAAGACAGCUUGAAAACAAAGAAGGUAGGAAGUCAUGUUUGGCCACAACCAAAAGAACUCACAUACCAAAUGGUUUAAGUUCAACUUGAAAAGGCCACACCAUGGGGCUCGGAUGGUCGCAACAUGGCAACAUAUGUUCUCUGCCCUUGGAGAAAAAGGAGAUCUUACACUGAAAAAGCUCAAGGCCAGUUUUCAACGUGACUACAUGAUCCUGUCAUGCCUGGAGGAAGGUAUCUGAAGAUCGAUUUUACCAGCAUCCCUCUCUGAUGGAGUUUGAAUGACCCUUGGGUGAUUAAUCGCAGCAACUUACAUUUGGAUAUUUUCCAAAUGCUUUCCAGUUUGUUAUCUCUCAUGACCCUUGCAACCACCUCCACAAGAAGAUAAGACAGGUAUUAAUAUGGCUGUUUGACAAGAAGAUAACCAGUUGAAGAGAAUUUAACUAACUGCCCUUCAGGUAAUAGACGUAGUUAAUUGAUAAGGAGGUAGAUGCCCGUGCACAGACAAAAGAGUAUAACUCUGCCCAAGGGCCUUCAGAGGGUUGUUGCAAAAUGGCAGGAAAACUACCCCAGAGUCCAGGGUGUGUAGGAAACUUGACUGAGUUUCCAUGCCAGGCAGGGAGCACCAAGACCUUCCAUUACCUGAUUCUGAGGCUCCUUACCAAUACCUACUGAUUCCUCAACUAAUUAAUUCCCUUCUUCCACUGUGGGCCACGAAUAAACGCAAAUGUCCAAUCCCUGUGUGCUUCAUUCCAAGGUGUGUCAUGGU